UGUUAAAAAUUUCAUCCGUUUGUACAAUUAGAAAUUGGCAUGACUAACGGAAUAACUAGAUAGUGUCACGUGGUAUGCCACGUGUACCUCAUUAUGAUGUAUAGAAACCAAUUUUUAAUAGUAGAAACGGAUGGAAUUUUUAACA
rfam:Gossypium arboreum cultivar AKA8401 contig_4194_5, whole genome shotgun sequence.